CCAGCUCCAAUAGCGUAUACUAAAGUUGUUGCAGUUAAAAAGCUCGUAGUCGAAUUUUAGUUUUAGAUUGUUGCCUUGUUAUGAAAAAUAACGUAGGAUAGAACAAUCUAAAACUGUGUUUGCUAAUUUACAAAACGUCUCUUUAACGAGUCUUUGUAAAUUAUGCAUUUUUUACUGUGAACAAAAUAGAGUGUUCAUGGCAGGCCUUAAAGGCUUAUAUACCUCAGCAUGGAAUAAUAGAGUAGGACUUCUGGUUCUAUUUUAUUGGUUAUUGGAGCCGAAGUAAUGAUUAAUAGGAAUAGUUGGGGGCACUCGUACUCCGUAGUUAGAGGUGAAAUUCUUGGAUUUACGGAAGACGAACAACUGCGAAAGCAUCUGCCAAGGAUGUUUUCA
rnacentral:rRNA from 1 species